GGCGGCAUAGCCAAGUGGCAAGGCAGAGGUCUGCAAAACCUUUAUCCCCAGUUCAAAUCUGGGUGCCGCCUCCA
rnacentral:tRNA from 1 species